CGCACCAGGACGGCUCUGCAGAGCGUCUGGGGGAGUCUGCUAGCCCGGCUCCUUGCAUCUGCACCUCCUCUCCUCCCAUCCUCUGUCUGUGUCCGCGUUAGAAUGCAGUGCAGAGGCAGCAGCAUCAGUGAUCAAACGUAUGUGGAUGUGUUGCACACAACAGGACUGUGAGCUCGUGCAUUGAAUUCUUCCAGUGAGAGGCAUGAUGGUUCAGGUCUCCAGAUGGCUGUGACGUAAAGAAGAAGCAUCCUGCACGGAUUUCUUAAGAACAAACAGUCCCUAUUUGCCUUAAAGAGGAAUGCUCACGACGCUCCAAUUAACGCAAUCAGAGCCGGGCUCCGUGCCGGCACUCCGCCUUCCGCGCAGGAACCACGGGAGGAGGUGCAGCACGGCACAAACCCCAUUCCACACUACGGCCGAGCAGAAUUCACGCGGAGAGGAACCACGACGCGGCAGCUCGCGGCGGGCAGCGCUCCCGCAGCGUCCCGCUCCCGCAGCCAGGAGAGCCGCUUCCCAUAGAGCUGCCCUUAUCGUCCCUCUGGUGACCGCGGUGCCGCCGUACUGGCAACCCGGCGGUACUGCUGCUGGCAUGCAAGGGGAUGUCAGCACGAAUCCGAACUGUGCAAUAAGAGCAGGAGAACUAUCGAGAAUACAGCAUCUCAAGGAAAAACAAAUGAAACACGUACUCGGUCAGUAAUCACACACGGAAGCAACGCGCGCCGCUAAGCACCACGUAUUUAUAACAUCUAUAUGUAACACAUAGAGCACCAUCCGGCUUUAAUAAGGAAAAACAAAUUACCGUGUCGUGCCUUGGAUGUCAUUCCCUGUGCUCUGUCUGCGUUGUUUAAAUCUGAAAAACAGCCACAAAAAGAAGCAAAGCGUCAUGAUUUAAAUAUCUUUACUGUUUGGUUCUUGUUCAUUAAGUGUAUGUGCACAGACGGGUGUAUAGGUGCUCGGGUCUAGAUCACUCAUAUCUGAGGUGGUUCCUUCAAUAAGCCCCAUAGGUGAUAGUCACGGACAGGCUCGGCUCCGGGUUAAGCCGGGAGACAACCAGCCACAUUUCUUGCAGACGAUCCAACAUAACACAGAACAGAUACGAGUGAUGCGCUCCAGCAUCCGCGGAGUUAAACGUGGCGAUCAAUAUUUACAUAAGAUAAAAGGAAUAAUAUAAAAACUAUAACAAUUUGUGGAUAACUCCGCUUAAGGGUAAAGGAUAGAGAAUAUUUUGGGCCGCUGAAUGGAAGUGGCCAAAACUCCAGGGGCGGGCACGAUAUUUGCAUACUAUAUGUUGCAGCUCCUUAAUGAAGGACGGAGCUCCACCUAGCCUCCAGCCCUGAGCGUGCACAGAGCUUCACCCUGCGCUCCUUCGGGCCCUCGGACAGGGAGCGCGAGGGAGGCACGGUCAGCACUGACAGCGUGCCUAGGGAGCGGGGGUAAAUAAACACAGAGAGCCACAGGCUUUCAUUGCGUCGUAUCAGAGGCAUCAACUUUAGUUACAAAAUAAAAAUGACACGAAUAAUAUUUUUUUUAAAAGCU
ensembl:lncRNA